rnacentral:rRNA from 1 species
GUAAGUGAGGGAAAAAAGCUGGGCGGUAGGUUAACUUCCGAGAUAAACGUGGGGAACGACGAAGAAAGGAAAAGGGUAACCUUCAGAAUCACAAGCUUUUCCGUUAACAAUCGAAACCGCAUGGUUUUGAUUUGAAAGGCGCUUUCGGGUGUCGCUGAUGGAUGGACCCGCGGUGCAUUAGCUAGUUGGUGAGGUAACGGCUCACCAAGGCUACGAUGGAUAGCCGACCUGAGAGGGUGAUCGGCCACAUUGGGACUGAGACACGGCCCAAACUCCUACGGGAGGCAGCAGUAGGGAAUCUUCGGCAAUGGACGAAAGUCUGACCGAGCAACGCCGCGUGAGUGAAGAAGGUUUUCGGAUCGUAAAACUCUGUUGUUAUAGAAGAACAAGGAUGAGAGUAACUGUUCUUCCCAUGACGGUAUCUAACCAGAAAGCCACGGUUAACUACGUGCCAGCAGCCGCGGUAAUACCUAAGUGGCAAGCGUUGUUCCGAUUUAUUGGGCGUAAAGCGAGCGCAGGCGGUUUCUUAAGUCUGAUGUGAAAGCCCCCCGGUCAACCGGGGAGGGUCCUUGGAAACUGGGAGACUUGAGUGCAGAAAAGGAGAGUGGAAUUCCAUGUGUAGCGGGGAAAUGCGUACAUAUAUGGAGGAACACCCGUGGCGAAGGCGGUUCUCUGGUCUGUAACUGUGCUGAGGCUCGAAAGCGUGGGGAGCAAACAGGAUUAUAUACCCUGGUAGUC